CUGGGGACUUCAUACUUUCUACUAAUUCUUGUUUCACUGGUACUGGCUCCUCUAGUGACUUCACACUUCCUGCUGAUUCUUCUUUCAGUGGUUCUGCAGGGGACUUCAUACUUACUGCCAUUUCUUGUUUCACUGGUUCUGCUGGUGCCUUCACACUUUCUGCUGACUCCCUUCCUUCUUCACCCUGUAAAGGAUACCAUUUUAACCAUGAAGAAAACCCAGAUGGCUCAAAGAGCAGUACACAUGCAUUUGUUUAAUAAGCUAACAACUAUAGAACUAAUCAAAUCAUUAGGCAGAACAAAUACUUCUUGCUGACAAACAAUUCAUUUACUUUUUUUUCUUGGACAAAAUUUUACUGCAUCUGAAGGACCUCCCACCAAUCAAUCUUGAUUUAUCAUUGCUCUUGCUUGGCAAUAAAAUAAAACUUCAAACCCCUUGAUUUCAUGGACUCAACUUUAAACCUUUUACUACAUAAUUCAAUAUCAUAAUUUAAGUGGUGUAUAUAUAUAUAUAUAUAUACACCACUUAAAUUAUGAUAUUGAAUUAUGUAGUAAAAGGUUUAAAGUUGAGUCCAUGAAAUCAAGGGGUUUGAAGUUUUAUUUUAUUGCCAAGCAAGAGCAAUGAUAAAUCAAGAUUGAUUGGUGGGAGGUCCUUCAGAUGCAGUAAAAUUUUGUCCAAGAAAAAAAAGUAAAUGAAUUGUUUGUCAGCAAGAAGUAUUUGUUCUGCCUAAUGAUUUGAUUAGUUCUAUAGUUGUUAGCUUAUUAAACAAAUGCAUGUGUACUGCUCUUUGAGCCAUCUGGGUUUUCUUCAUGGUUAAAAUGGUAUCCUUUACAGGGUGAAGAAGGAAGGGAGUCAGCAGAAAGUGUGAAGGCACCAGCAGAACCAGUGAAACAAGAAAUGGCAGUAAGUAUGAAGUCCCCUGCAGAACCACUGAAAGAAGAAUCAGCAGGAAGUGUGAAGUCACUAGAGGAGCCAGUACCAGUGAAACAAGAAUUAGUAGAAAGUAUGAAGUCCCCAG
rnacentral:misc_RNA from 1 species